rfam:Glomerella graminicola M1.001 genomic scaffold supercont1.112, whole genome shotgun sequence.
GGCUAUAGGGAAGUUCUGUUUUAAGGGGUAAGAAGGCCCGGUAUAGCAAAAGGGAAGCCGGUUAAUAUUCCAGCACCUAGAUGUGGGUUUUGCGCGGCAACGUAACUAAACGCGGAGACAAUAGCAGGGGCCUUAGGCAGAGUUCUCUUUUCUUCUUAACGGUCUAUUACCCUAAAAUUAGUUUGUCUAGAGCUAGGGUUUAACGGCUGGAAGAGCCUAGCACUUCUGUUAGGUCUAGUGUGCUCUUAACGUCUCUUAAAAAUCUGCAGGAAGGAAUAAUUCUUACGCUAGGUUAUACUUAUAACUGCAGUAGGUCUCUAAGGUAAAUAGCCUCUAGUUAAUAGAAUAAUAUAGAUAAGAGAAGUUAGCAAAACAGAUCUAUAACUUUAGGAUAAGGAUUAGCUCUAAGGGUUAGGUACGUUAGGCUUUAGGCGGACGGCCUGGGAGUAGGUCGCCACUAGCUAGGUAACUGGCUAGAGGCUUCUAGUAUCUAGGUUCUAACGCCUUUAGCAGGCUUUAGCCGUCCGGCGUACAAUUAAUAACUAACUUAGAACUAGUAUAGACAAGGGGGAAUCUAACUAUCUAAUUAAAACAUAGUAUUAUAAUAGCUAGAAAGUGGUGUUAACGUAAUAUAAUUUCUACUUAGUGCUCUAAAUAUUAAAGUAAAGUAAUUUAACUAAGCGUAGGUAAAUAGCAGGAGUAACUAUAACUCUCUUAAGGUAGCUAAAUACCUUAUUAUCUAAUUAGUAAUACGUAUAAAUAGAUUAAUAAGAUUCCUACUGUCCUUAUCUACUAUCUAGUAAAACUACAGCUAAGGGAAUAGGCUUAGUAGAAUUAGUAGGGAAAGAAGACCCUGUUAAGCUUAACUCUAGUUUAAUAUUAUAAAAAGAUAUAGGAGGUGUAGAAUAGGUAGGAGCUUUAGCGCUAGUAAAAUACUACUACUUCUAUUGUUUUUUUACUUAUUUAAUAAAGCAGGGCUAGAUUUACGUCUAACUUCUAGUUUUAAGGUCCUUUAUAGGCCGACCUAGGUUAAAGAUAUUGUUAGGUAGGGAGUUUAGCUAGGGCGGUAUAUCUGUUAAACUAUAACGCAGGUGUCCUAAGGGGGGCUUAUAGAGAAUAGAAAUCUCUAGUAGAAUAAAAAGGUAAAAGUCCUCUUAAUUUUGAUUUUUAGUGUAAAUACAAACUAUAAAAGUGUAGCCUAUUAAUCCUUUAGUCCCUUAAAAUUUAAGGCUAGAGGUGCUAGAAAAGUUACUAUAAGGAUAACUAGCUUAUAGUAGCUAAGUGUUUAUAGUGACGUUGCUUUUUAAUCCUUUAAUAUUAGCUCUUCUUAUUAUACUAAAGCAGAAUUUAGUAAGCGUUAGAUUGUUUACCUACUAAUAAGGAACAUAAGCUAGGUUUAGACUGUUAUAAGAUAGGUUAGUUUUACCUUACUAAUAACCUUGUUAUAAUAGUAAUUAAGCUUAGUACAAGAGGAACUACUUAUUUAGAUAAUUAGUUUUUAUAGCUGUCUAACUAGGUAGUGCUAUAACGCUACUAUCUGCUAGAUAAUAGCUAAACGCCUCUAAGUUAGAAUCUAUACUAGAACGUAACGAUACUUCCUGUACGUAUAGACAGACAUAAAUAGGCUUUAGCUUAGCGUCUUAGCAGGCAAUUCCUCUACUGCUCUUAAAGCAAGUAGUGGUAUUUUGCGAAUUAUAAUUUUAGCACAAGCGGGGUUAAAUCCUUUACAGACGACUUAGAUAUAUAAAAGGGUCCUGUAAGUAGUAGAGUAGCCUUGUUAUUAUAAUCUGCUAAAGGUAAGCCCUCCUUUGCCUUAAUUUCC